rnacentral:snRNA from 14 species
GUGCUUGCUUCAGCAGCACAUAUCCUAAAGUUGGAAGGAGGCAGGGAAUAUUAACAUGGCCACAGUGCAAGAACAACACAAAAUUUCCUGGAGCAUUCGAAACCUAG